rnacentral:tRNA from 1 species
CAAUCAGCUCAGUUGGUAGAGCAUGGGACUAUUAAUCCCAGGGUGGUAGGUUCUAGCCCCAUAUUG